rnacentral:rRNA from 2 species
GGGUUGUGAGGUUAAGCGACUAAGCGUACACGGUGGAUGCCCUGGCAGUCAGAGGCGAUGAAGGACGUGCUAAUCUGCGAUAAGCGCCGGUAAGGUGAUAUGAACCGUUAUAACCGGCGAUUUCCGAAUGGGGAAACCCAGUGUGAUUCGUCACACUAUCAUUAACUGAAUCCAUAGGUUAAUGAGGCGAACCGGGGGAACUGAAACAUCUAAGUACCCCGAGGAAAAGAAAUCAACCGAGAUUCCCCCAGUAGCGGCGAGCGAACGGGGAGGAGCCCAGAGCCUGAAUCAGCAUGUGUGUUAGUGGAAGCGUCUGGAAAGACGCGCGAUACAGGGUGACAGCCCCGUACACAAAAGCGCAUGUGCUGUGAGCUCGAUGAGUAGGGCGGGACACGUGGUAUCCUGUCUGAAUAUGGGGGGACCAUCCUCCAAGGCUAAAUACUCCUGACUGACCGAUAGUGAACCAGUACCGUGAGGGAAAGGCGAAAAGAACCCCGGCGAGGGGAGUGAAAAAGAACCUGAAACCGUGUACGUACAAGCAGUGGGAGCCCCACCACUAAGCCAGUGGUGAACUCCACAUACGCAUCCUUUGCUGAGGAUACGGUUAACGGAGCGAAAGCGACGUUCAACCUCAAAAGAAGCAGAGGGGGCUUAGUGGUGGGGUGACUGCGUACCUUUUGUAUAAUGGGUCAGCGACUUAUAUUCUGUAGCAAGGUUAACCGAAUAGGGGAGCCGGAGGGAAACCGAGUCUUAACCGGGCGUUAAGUUGCAGGGUAUAGACCCGAAACCCGGUGAUCUAGCCAUGGGCAGGUUGAAGGUUGGGUAACACUAACUGGAGGACCGAACCGACUAAUGUUGAAAAAUUAGCGGAUGACCUGUGGCUGGGGGUGAAAGGCCAAUCAAACCGGGAGAUAGCUGGUUCUCCCCGAAAGCUAUUUAGGUAGCGCCUCGUGAACUCAUCUCCGGGGGUAGAGCACUGUUUCGGCUAGGGGGCCAUCCCGGCUUACCAACCCGAUGCAAACUGCGAAUACCGGAGAAUGUUAUCACGGGAGACACACGGCGGGUGCUAACGUCCGUCGUGAAGAGGGAAACAACCCAGACCGCCAGCUAAGGUCCCAAAGUCAUGGUUAAGUGGGAAACGAUGUGGGAAGGCCCAGACAGCCAGGAUGUUGGCUUAGAAGCAGCCAUCAUUUAAAGAAAGCGUAAUAGCUCACUGGUCGAGUCGGCCUGCGCGGAAGAUGUAACGGGGCUAAACCAUGCACCGAAGCUGCGGCAGCGAACGUAUCACCCAAGACAACUUUACGGAGUUGACGAUUGACGGAGCGAAGCGACGUCAAAGCGUUCAUUAAAGUCGAGUUGGCUUAGGGAUACGUUCGUUGGGUAGGGGAGCGUUCUGUAAGCCUGUGAAGGUGGCCUGUGAGGGUUGCUGGAGGUAUCAGAAGUGCGAAUGCUGACAUAAGUAACGAUAAUGCGGGUGAAAAACCCGCACGCCGGAAGACCAAGGGUUCCUGUCCAACGUUAAUCGGGGCAGGGUGAGUCGACCCCUAAGGCGAGGCCGAAAGGCGUAGUCGAUGGGAAACAGGUUAAUAUUCCUGUACUUGGUGUUACUGCGAAGGGGGGACGGAGAAGGCUAUGUUAGCCGGGCGACGGUUGUCCCGGUUUAAGCAUGUAGGCGGAGGUUCCAGGUAAAUCCGGUACCUUAUUAACGCUGAGGUGUGAUGACGAGGCACUACGGUGCUGAAG